rnacentral:rRNA from 1 species
GGUGAACGCUGGCGGCGUGCUUAAGACAUGCAAGUCGAACGGCAGUCUUCGGACUGUAGUGGCGCACGGGUGAGUAACGCGUAACUGACCUACCCCACAGUCGCGGAUAACGAUUCGAAAGAAUCGCUAAUACGUGAUGUGCUGUCAGCUUGUGUUCUGCCAGUAAAGAUUGAUUGCUUUGGGAUGGGGUUGCGUUCCAUCAGCUAGUUGGUGGGGUAAAGGCCCACCAAGGCGACGACGGAUAGCCGGCCUGAGAGGGUGGCCGGCCACAGGGGCACUGAGACACGGGUCCCACUCCUACGGGAGGCAGCAGUUAGGAAUCUUCCACAAUGGGCGAAAGCCUGAUGGAGCGACGCCGCGUGAGGGAUGAAGGUCUUCGGAUCGUAAACCUCUGAAUCAGGGACGAAAGACACUUCGGUGGGAUGACGGUACCUGAGUAAUAGCACCGGCUAACUCCGUGCCAGCCGCCGCCGUAAUAC